GUGCAACAAACACAUGUAGGAUGAAUGACACUUACUGAGUUCCUCCUAAGACUUUUCCCUAUUUUCUACCCUUUUUUCCCAAACAUGAAGCUCUCUGAGGUCGGGGAUUCUACCACAGAGUUCUGCACUGUGCCUUACUGAAACGAGUGCUGGAUUUGCAGUAAAAAUUGAAUUCGAAUUCUACCUCUACUAGGCCUUAUAAAGCUGUGAAGUACCUACUUCAGGAUGGUAGAUUUUAAAAUCUGCAACCACGGGGACUGUGUCUUCUUCACUGUUACUAUCCUGCUCACAGUACAGUGCCUGGAGCUGAAUGGAUAAAUGAAUGAAGAUGAAGUCAGUGCAAAAGUAAUAAGACAUAAGAAAAUUCAAAGAUUCAUUAAUGUCUAGAAGUCUGGCGGUACCCCCCAACAAGAAAGGAAGUUGAGGCCCCUGAAGAGAAAUGACGCGUCCAUUGUCACACACCACAGUAGUGGUUUUUGUAUACUGUUCCUCAGCAUUCUUAGAUGCCUUGGAGAUCCACCUCUCUUCCCUCUCUCCCUCUCCUCUGCAUUUAUUGAACAUUUAUUAUGUGCUUCCUCAAAGCUUUACAGAAAUUAUCCUACUUAAUCCUCACCACAGCCCCAUUUUACGGAUGUGCAAGCUGAGUCUUACAGCCGAGA
rnacentral:lncRNA from 1 species